rnacentral:rRNA from 1 species
GUGAGGAAUAUUGGACAAUGGGGGGAACCCUGAUCCAGCCAUGCCGCGUGUGUGAAGAAGGCCUUUUGGUUGUAAAGCACUUUAAGCGAGGAGGAGGCUACCGAGAUUAAUACUCUUGGAUAGUGGACGUUACUCGCAGAAUAAGCACCGGCUAACUCUGUGCCAGCAGCCGCGGUAAUACAGAGGGUGCAAGCGUUAAUCGGAUUUACUGGGCGUAAAGCGCGCGUAGGUGGCCAAUUAAGUCAAAUGUGAAAUCCCCGAGCUUAACUUGGGAAUUGCAUUCGAUACUGGUUGGCUAGAGUAUGGGAGAGGAUGGUAGAAUUCCAGGUGUAGCGGUGAAAUGCGUAGAGAUCUGGAGGAAUACCGAUGGCGAAGGCAGCCAUCUGGCCUAAUACUGACACUGAGGUGCGAAAGCAUGGGGAGCAAACAGGAUUAGAUACCCGAGUAGUCC